GUUACUCGAUGGACAAGAAGAGGAAAAGCAGGAAUAAUAAUUAUGAUGCCAAACACACACACACAGACACACAGUUCCUCUGAAACAGCUGAUCCACACAGAAUCAGUGUAUAAAAGCUGUUUAAAUAUUUGAACAGCACGCUGCGGGGAGUACACACUCAGUCGUGCAGUAUUAUGUGAUUUGGGACACAACCAGCGCUGAGUGAACGACGUUAGCGAACCUGUCGCUCAGGCUAAAGCUAACGCUAACACUAACGCUAAAGCUACCCAGAGUGAUGGAGUUUUAUUCCUACUGUUACAUACGAGUGUUUACACACAGAGCGGAACUGCACGAGUGUGUCCACAGCCUGCUUAGUCUCACACACACACACACACACACACAGAGCUGGGGCUGCUGAGCAAGGACAAGAUGAUUGCACACAGAUCUGGGACACAGAUUUCCUCUCGUGCUCAAACUCCAUGGAGCUCCAUUUUGGAUCAAACCCACUUCACCAUCAUCACCACCACCAUCAUCAUCACCAUCAUCAUUAAGAUCAUCAUCAUCAUCAUCACCACUCCGUCAUCAUGGCACUGCAACCUCUUUUAAAGAAAUAGAGAAGAUCAGCUCUGAGUGACGGAGGAGGAGAUCUUCUGCGCUUCACGGCGUUUCAACAGGCGAAAAUAUUCCCUCAGCAUUACUGCGGCGGAUUAAUCUGCGCCGUCAGACACCCGGAGAGAGAGAGAGGGAGAGGGUCGAAUCCCACCCGAAGCGCGCAGGUUCCGAGGCGCCGCGCGCGCGCGCUCGCAUCCGAGAUGGACACCAACAAAUCCAGGAGGAGCUGCGAGAGGAACCGCACGGCCUCCGGGCUCUCCUGCUUCAGGAGCAAAGAAAGGGGAAGAGAUGCGGGCUGGAGGCUGUCACACUGUCUGCGGGACCCGCUCGGGAUCCCAGCAAAAAAAAAAAAGAAAAAGAAAAAGAAAGAAAAAAAGAAAAAAAAAAACAGAAAAAAGAAAAGAAACCCCAGCCCCGAUCUGAUCUGCGCCCUGCACGUCUCCGGUUCGAGCCCGAGCGCGUCGGCGGAGCGGAUCGGAGCCGAAAAGCGGCCCAAACGCGGCGGAAUAAACGGUGUUGUUCUGCUCCUCCGCUUCUCCAGACCUUCAGCGCUGCUUGACAGCAGCAGAUCCAAUAAAAGCACGCGCGAGGAUUGACCUACAGCCUCUAAUGACGUCAAUGCAAAUGAGGCCCGCCCGGCCAAUCGGACGAGAGCGCAGCCGGCCUGGGAGGAGCGCGCGUGCGGCGGCAGCUUUGAAAUGAGCACUUGGCUUUGAUGUGAGAUUUAGACCGGAAGUUCUUUUUACAUUUUGUUCCUCAAAACAGAUCUUUACACAGAUGGAUGAGUUCGUAUAUACACACACUACCGCUCAAAAGUUUGGGGUCAUUUUGAAAUUGAAAGAAAAGCACUGUUCUUUUCAAUGAAGAUCACUUUAAACUAAUCAGAAAUCCACUCUAUACAUUGCUAAUGUGGUAAAUGACUAUUCUAGCUGCAAAUGUGUGGUUUUUGGUGCAAUAUCUCCAUAGGUGUAUAGAGGCCCAUUUCCAGCAACUCUCACUCCAGUGUUCUAAU